UCCGUAGGUGAACCUGCGGAGGGAUCAUUACCGAGUUUACAACUCCCAAACCCAAUGUGAACGUUACCAAACUGUUGCCUCGGCGGGGUCACGCCCCGGGUGCGUCGCAGCCCCGGAACCAGGCGCCCGCCGGAGGAACCAACCAAACUCUUUCUGUAGUCCCCUCGCGGACGUAUUUCUUACAGCUCUGAGCAAAAAUUCAAAAUGAAUCAAAACUUUCAACAACGGAUCUCUUGGUUCUGGCAUCGAUGAAGAACGCAGCGAAAUGCGAUAAGUAAUGUGAAUUGCAGAAUUCAGUGAAUCAUCGAAUCUUUGAACGCACAUUGCGCCCGCCAGUAUUCUGGCGGGCAUGCCUGUCCGAGCGUCAUUUCAACCCUCGGACCCCUCCGGGGGAUCGGCGUUGGGGAUCGGGACCCCUCACACGGGUGCCGGCCCCGAAAUACAGUGGCGGUCUCGCCGCAGCCUCUCCUGCGCAGUAGUUUGCACAACUCGCACCGGGAGCGCGGCGCGUCCACGUCCGUAAAACACCCAACUUUCUGAAAUGUUGACCUCGGAUCAGGUAGGAAUACCCGCUGAACUUAAGCAUAUCAAUAAGCGGAGGA
rnacentral:rRNA from 1 species